rnacentral:rRNA from 1 species
UACAGAGGUCUCAAGCGUUGUUCGGAUUCAUUGGCGUAAAGGGUGCGUAGGUGGCGCUGUAAGUCGGUGUGAAAUUUCGGAGCUUAACUCCGAAACUGCAUUCGAUACUGCGGUGCUUGAGGACUGGAGAGGAGACUGGAAUUCAUGGUGUAGCAGUGAAAUGCGUAGAGAUCAUGAGGAAGACCAGUGGCGAAGGCGGGUCUCUGGACAGUUCCUGACACUGAGGCAACGAAGGCCAGGGGAGCAAACGGG